CACAACACAAAACACUUAUGUGUUGUUGCAAUAUGCAAUCUUUAGUAUUUACCAAUGGUCUUUACUAACCAGGAAGCGUCACGCCUUCAUCCUGCGUACAUGAUUCAAUCCCACUUGGCAAACGAGAACGAGAACUUGCAUGCAGGAAAAUGCAAAGAUCAAUCAAAGAGCUGAGUGUUCGUUAUGACCCGAUCAACGAAACCAAUACUUUUACUAAUGGAGACAUAGUGGAGGGGCGAGUUGUUCUGGAAGUGACCAAAGAAAUAAACGUGGAGAAUUUGUUUGUGAAGCUGACGGGCGACGCGGACGUGCGCUGGACUGAAGGCUCAGGGGAUGACGAAAGAUCCUACAGCGACCAUGAGAGAUACUUUAAACAAAAGCAAUAUUUUAUCCAGGACAGCUCGAAGAAAGGACAAUGUGAAAAGAAUACCACACUUGUAAGUGGAGAAACUUAUGGAUCAGUGAUCAAACCAGGAAGUCAUGUCUUUCCAUUCAGAUUUCAGCUGCCUCAACAAAAUAUGCCUCCCGACUUUUAAAGGAUUUCAUGGUUGGGUGAAGUACAUUGUGAUGGUAAAGCUAAAAAGGUCUUGGAAGCCAACAUCAAGUGCACAAGCAGAAAUUAACUUUGCGCCCAGAAAUUUUGGGACCAAUGACCAUUUACUGCAACCACAAUCUGGUACAGAAGACAAGAAGAUGAAACUUUUUGGCUCAGGAAAAAUGUCAAUGACCGUAACAACGGACAAAACAGGCUACAUGCUAGGUGAAAUAAUAAGGGUUUCUGUUGAUAUUGACAACUCUUCAUCACGUGAUAUCAAGCUAAAGUACAGCCUUAAACAACUACAAACGUUCAUUGCUGGAAGAAGCACUACUCAUGCACACAAGGACAUAGUCAAAGAAACUAAAGACUGCAUCCCAUCUGGAGGAAAGACACGAUUUGUGGUGGACAUCAAGCUUCCGCAUGACAUUAUGGUCACCAUUGAAAACUGCAGAAUUAUAAAAGUGCAAUACGAACUCAAGGUCUAUCUGGAUGUUUCAUUUGCUUCAGAUCCGACAGUUAAAUUCCCGGUGGUCAUUAUUCCACCUUUACAGCAGUGUCCUCCCUGGCAUGAUCCACCUCCACCAUACAUGCCACCUCAGCCUAACCUAGUGCCCUAUCCUGGUGGAGCUGCUCCACCACCUGCAGGACUGUACCCUAAUCUGUAUGAUCCAGUGCCACCCUAUCCAGGAACCGCUGCUGGGACCUUUCCGAAUCCAAAUGCCAUGCUGCCUGGUUUCCAUCCGGCUCCAUCUGCUCCAGUUUAUGAUCUAAAUCAAAGCACUAAAGAAUCUUUUCCUAAUGCGCCUCAUUAGUUUCUUUCACCAGCCAAACUGACAGCCUCUUGUACUAUGCUAUAUUAAUAAUAUUGUCAGGGUUUUACCUCAAUGCACUCAAGCUUUAUGCCUGUUAUUGUGCCUUGAAAUUUGAGCACUUUUGCAUAUCAUAGGUAAUAUACAGUAGUCUUCAUUUGAAG
ensembl:processed_transcript si:dkey-172m14.1 si:dkey-172m14.1